AGCCUGUCUAAUGUAACUGCAAUUGGUAU
rnacentral:piRNA from 1 species